UUUUUUUUUAAAUUUGCUUAAUCUAAUUUGGUGUUUCAUUUUGCUUUUUCCAUUAGUUUUGUGUUUUGACCUCACUGUAUCUUUGACCAGCCCAAUUGCUACUUUUUGUGAAGCAUUACAAUCCAGGGGGAGCAGUGAAAGUUCUCAUGAGUAGGAAGUGUUUAAGUAAACUGUGACUCAGGCAUGUAUGAAAUACUAUGCAGCAGUCAAAAAGAAUGAAGCACCUCCACUAUGCUGCUAAGAAAACGGGGGGAGCAGGAAGGAAAGACACAGAACACACCCUAUCCUGUGGCAGCAAAGCCCAGGAGAGCUCGGAGGCAUCCCCAGUCUGCGCACCCGAGCAAAUCACACUUCCACCUCCGAAGCUCCAGGACUGAACCGGAGAGUCGCUGACUGGAGAAUCCCCGUGCUGGGCUUUUAGGAAGAGCUUCCCACUUCCCACUGCAGGAUGUCUUCCGCGAGGAACCAGUCCAGGGCUUUACUCCUCAGAAUAAGCAAGAAUGUGACAAUGGAGCAAAGUAAUAUUUAAAGGAAACGUCUUCCAGAGGAUUUUCUAGCUGUUUCGUAAACUCAGCUCAUUUCUGAAAAAGCUUCCUCUGCACCUUUGCCUCUGUGUUUGAGACUGUGUGGGAAAUGGACUAAUGUUUUAAAUUUCUUUCCUCUACCACGAUCUUGAGCUCUUCUUUGCAGAAGAUUAAAUGUUACCAAAGGCUAUUGCUGUAUCUCCUAGUAAUCUUGGGAAAAAACAAACAAAGUGAAAAACUCUAUGAAGUGUGUUUGUUCUCCCCUCAAACUGAGCAGUUCACAAGAGAGCUGCUGUAAGGCCACCACAGCUGACCACAGAGCAAGAGCUGUGUGAGAUGUGUGAGGGUUAGUCACUUUACUAUUAAGGGAGAUUGACACAGGAAAUCACAUACUGAUUGGGGUGGAAAACCAAAAU
rnacentral:lncRNA from 1 species